AGCACUGUAGGUGUCAGCCGCCGCGGUAAUACGUAGGGUGCGAGCGUUAAUCGGAAUUACUGGGCGUAAAGUGUGCGCAGGUGGCCGCGCAAGUCGAGUGUGAAAGCCCCGAGCUUAACUUGGGAAUUGCGCUCGAAACUACGUGGCUAGAGUGUGGCAGAGGAAGGUGGAAUUCCACGUGUAGCGGUGAAUGCGUAGAGAUGUGGAGGAACACCGAUGGCGAAGGCAGCCUUCUGGGCCAACACUGACGCUCAUGCACGAAAGCGUGGGGAGCAAACAGGAUUAGAUACCCUGGUAGUCCACGCCCUAAACGAUGAUGACUAGUUGUUGGGGGAGUUAAAUCCCUUAGUAACGCAGCUAAACGCGUGAAGUCAUCCGCCUGGGGAGUACGGUCGCAAGAUUAAAACUCAAAUGAAUUGACGGG
rnacentral:rRNA from 1 species